UGCUGAUCUUCGAACUGCGCGAGCUGACGGAGCACGCCGCGUGAGGGAUGAAGGCCUCUGGGCUGUAAACCUCUUUUCUCAAGGAAGAAGAUCUGACGGUACUUGAGGAAUAAGCCACGGCUAAUUCCGUGCCAGCAGCCGCGGUAAUAUUC
rnacentral:rRNA from 1 species